rnacentral:misc_RNA from 1 species
UAUGGCUCCCCAGAGGCCGGUUCUUGUGCUGCCUACCCCUUCAGGCGAAGAGUUCCAGACUUGAUGUAAGCCUCCAUCCGGUGCCCUCCAAAGGGCGCGGGAGGACAGAGGAGCACCCCCCGCGUUCCACCGAGCCUCCUCGGUCGCGUGGCCCGUGGGGACGUGCGAUGUUCUCGGACCCAGCGAACGCCGUGGGCGAGGAACUCACGUCCCGUCCCCAAGAGAAGCUCCGAAAGAAUGCAUGACUGCACUACCCGC